GCAGAACCGGAAGAAACAAAGCCAUGGAUCGUUCCUCUGAUCCAUCGAAUUCGGAAUGACGUUCUGCGUGAUCCGUUAUGCUCCGAGAUGAAUACGAGUUUCAUGACUCUUGAAGACGAGUACUCCAAACUUCGUGAAAGGUAUUUCCGGAAUUUGUUUAAGGAAUAUUUGCCGGACCGGAGGUGUGCCGUUGGGCCAUAGCCUAGUGACCCACUUGAAACCUGACUAAACGCCCUGGCGUUGACCGAUCGCCACGCAUUACAUGAUUAUCAUGAGGUCAAACUGCUUUCUUCCCGAUGUUAAAAUUGUGACAAUCUUCGAAUUUCUGAUUUUCGAUCAAUGUUGAAAGCAAUAUAAAUAAUCGGUGAUUAAUACUUAUUUAUAUCCCAGCACAACGAACUGCAAGUCAACUUCAAUAUCAAAGUUAAUAUAGCAUUACGUUUAUUCACCGCAAACGAAAAAAUUCUCGCCAUCAGACAAUUAAAUUACUGGAGAAAACACGACAGCAGAGAUCUCUUUUUUUUUCUUAAUUAGCGACACCGGAUGAGAAAUAACAAAACAUUGUGAAAGAGAUUCUACAGACGGAGAGUACAUAAAUUAUUACAGCAUCAAUGAAGUUAAUAACUAACGGGACAAAUUAAUACCGAACACUGUUUUGUCGUUUGGUGAUGCUAAUAGCUUCCUUAUUGCGAUAAAUACAGCCAAAGGAGAAGCCAGAAUGAUUGGUACUGUUCUCACUUCGAAUUUAUUAUACAAUCGCGUAUUGCACUCUGUGACGCACGAAAGUCGGCGAAACGAGUGGCGUUUCGUAAUGGCACUACUGGUAAUGACACAUCGCGUGUGUGUCAUUCACGAUAGUGAAAAGCAGAAGAAAUCAAAGCUGCGAAAUUUCACCGUGAUUUGUGAUAAGUUAGCUAUCCGAUCACAUUAGCUACAUUCAAAAUAGCAGUCGCGGUUGACUGCACAUAUGGGCUUAAUAAUUUAUAUUUGUGUACUCGUACACCGAUACAAUGUGAAAAAUAAAAUAUAUACCUUGCAGAAAAAUAAAUGAUUAAUAUGUCGGGAAGAUCGAUAGUUCUGUCGAAGAAACUCGUUUUUAUAUGCGAGUUUAGAUUUAUUUGCAAAUAGAGGCAACACGAGGAUGAUGAUAUUUGAUGGUACAGAUCUCACACAUACUUUCGCUUUUGAGGGAUGCCUGAUGUAAUCGAGUCACGAUAUGAUUCUCAGGAAUUGUACAGGAUUCUACGAACGAUGGCGAAAUUCACUUUUCUUCACUUAACCGGGAUUCUCAUCGUCGAACGACAUAACAAUGAUCGUAUACCGAGCGAAUACCGUGUAAUACUUUCCGAAGGCCUUCACCUUGACUGCCAGCCGCUUCGAUAAUAUUACUUUAUUAUCUCUGCUCUAUCAUCAGAUUCCGAUUACGGAGAAAAUGAAAGAAAAUCGACGCGAUCUACGAUUCAGAAACUAACGCCAAUCUCUCCUUUCGCAGACGCUGACAAUUGCCGACUAUAAAGUAAAUCCGAUAAUCCAUUAAAUUUACAUAAUGAUCUGUCGAUCGUGAUCAUUAAUCAAGGUAAAAUCGUUUGAUAAAGGAAAGUAGAUCACAUCUUAUUCCCUUGAAUGCACUUUUUAUACUUUAUCAUGGCAUUUAUUAUUCCAAAGGAAAGAUAAAGUAAUUUGUAAUUGAAAAUAAAUUGCAAAUAUUAAUAUUAAUAUUAAUCGGUUACAAAACAUUUUUUGUGAGAUA